CUCAACAAACGGCAAGACCAUUACAUUCUGAGCCUACCAACGACCAAAACUAGUCAGAUGGGUCAGCCCGUUCAUAUCCCAUACUACCCCACCGACAAUUUAUGGUGCCCAGUAAAAGUUUUCGAUGCCUACUUACUUUCCGUACCUACUCACGCUUCACUCCCUCUCCUGUCACUUCACGGGGCUAUCCUCACCACUUCUAAGUUCAUGGUGUAUGUGCGCCUAUUGUUGACACGACUCUGCUUGAACGCCAACAAAUAUUCUGGACACUCAUUUAGGAUAGGGGCAUGUAUAUGGCUAUGUAUAAGGAUCCUG